GUCAUGUGACGGGGGCUCACGUGAUCCCUGGUGUUUUUGUUGGCGGCGGCGGCGACGGAGGGGGGGGCGGGGGUUGUCUAAGAUGGCGGCGAUGGAGGAAGAGGAACGGGCGUUACUGGAUGAGGAAGCGCUGCCCAAAGACCACGGCGACCCCGCGCGCAAGCCCUUGCCGGCGUUGUGCGACCCGCAGCGGCUGGUCCACAGGCUGCUGGUGCUGGCGCUCAUGUGCUUCCUGGGCUUCGCUAUUUUUGCUAUGACACCCCAGCAGCUCUGCAGGCUCAAGUUCAGAGGGAUAUGAAAAUAAACACAGCUGAAUUCAUGGCAUUGUAUGCCUGGUAUUCCUGGCCUAAUGUGUUUCUAUGUUUUUUUGGAGGCUUUUUGAUAGACAGAAUCUUUGGAAUAAGGUAAUUAUGACCAUUUUUUCUUGAAGAUAACUGCUAAAUCCAUCUUAUGUUUUUUUUAAAUGGUGGCACGAAU
rnacentral:lncRNA from 1 species